AGGAUUUUGUGUUGUUCUUGACAUCAAUAGUUUGCAACUAGACGAUUAUAAUUGUUCAAGUUUCACCGAUGGAUGCCCUUCGACUUUUUACGACAGUGAUAAGUUAUAUGACUUUCCCAGAUGUUUAGACAUUGAUUUUCAAAUCCAUUGUAUCCGAGGAGAAAAAAAUUGUGCAGAACAAAGAUUCCAAAUAAUAACAACAGAUACACUUCUGACAGAUAAUGAUACGACUACACCUCUUCAAGAGAAUGUUGGGCGGUUGAAAGAUGAAAAUGGAAAUUACAUCAUUAUUGGUGUGAUAUGCGCAGUUGUUGGCCUUUGUAUCCUGAUUAUAGCUAUCAUCUAUUUCUUGAAAUUUAGAAGACACGA